rnacentral:tRNA from 1 species
UUGGCAGAAACCAAAUAGAGGUAAUUUAUUGUUAAUAAAUAUAUUGAAUUAUAAUAAUUCCUGCUAAU